rnacentral:lncRNA from 1 species
CAGUGGACCGUGAAAUUGGGGUGAACCCUCUAGUUUGGCAUUAAAAUUAAAAAGAUCAUAUCAUAGGGAACAUGUAUACUAAGUUUGAAGUCGAUUGGACUUCAACUUCAUCAAAAACUACUUGACAAAAACUUAACCUGAAGCGGGACAGACGGACGAACGAACGGACGCACAGACCAGAAAACAUAAUGCCCCUCUACUAUCGUAGGUGGGGCAUAAAAA